ACGAACGCUGGCGGCGUGCUUAACACAUGCAAGUCGAACGGAAAGGCCCCUUUGGGGGUACUCGAGUGGCGAACGGGUGAGUAACACGUGAGUUACCUGCCCUUGACUUCGGGAUAACUUCAGGAAACUGGGGCUAAUACCGGAUAGGAAUCCUUGCUGCAUGGUGGGGGUUGGAAAGCUUCGGCGGUUUUGGAUGGACUCGCGGCUUAUCAGCUUGUUGGUGGGGUAGUGGCUUACCAAGGCUUUGACGGGUAGCCGGCCUGAGAGGGCGACCGGCCACAUUGGGACUGAGAUACGGCCCAGACUCCUACGGGAGGCAGCAGUGGGGAAUAUUGCACAAUGGGCGGAAGCCUGAUGCAGCAACGCCGCGUGCGGGAUGACGGCCUUCGGGUUGUAAACCGCUUUCAGCAGGGGCGAAGCUUGUGGUGACGGUACCUGCAGAAGAAGCACCGGCUAACUACGUG
rnacentral:rRNA from 1 species